GUGAAGGAGAGCACAGGCAAUUAAUUGAUUAACAUGAAGGAGGACUAGAUAAUUAUUUCUUGUGUAAUAGGGCAAAUCCCUUGUGCUCUCUUUGUCCAAUAUGCAAUUAUUACAGAUGGUCUCCUGAUGUCUUAAGCAAGGUGUUCCAAGUAGUCAGGAGAGCAUGGAUACAGAUGCUUUAUUUUUUCAUCCAUCCUGCUGCCAAGAGAUUAUGGUCCUCAAUCGAAAUAGAAAUUGCAGAAA